GGAGUUGGCCGGGAAGUUUCCCCCUUCCCUCUGCGGGAUGAUUCCAGCAGACUUUGGACCUCAGGUGAUCGCAUGGACUGGAACCUAAAAGACAGGUUUAAAUUUGUGAACCACAGCAAGUGAUCGCUGGCUCUGAAUAUGAAUUUUCCAGAAGGUGUUGCCAUUCUUGAGCAAAUCUGUCUUCAGUCUGAUGUACUCAUCGAUCCUGUACCGAGGGGCUCUGGGAAAAGGGAAGCUUUUGCCCGAGGAAAUCUUACCGAAGAACCCACGACUCAUCUAGGCAAAGGUCUCUACUGGAAUGAACGUGUCCAAUGGUCCCAGCCAGAGCACCUCUUCAUCAGACAGGACCAGCGGCAGUGCUGAGCACGUUCCACACAUUAACUCCGUACAUCUUCAUAAAAAUCCGACGAGAGGGGGCCUCGUGUCCCCCUUCAAAGAGCAAACCAGCUGAUUAUGCAAAGUGUAACUCUCGGGAGAUUGAUGAAGCAUUCUGUUAGGUAAAUGAAAGCCGAUGUUAUUCGGCUAAAGAAGAACAUGGAAAUGCCUUCUCUUAUCACACCAUGAAGACAAGUGAACAUUAUUUAAUCACCCUCCAGGGUUGUGUGGUUUAGGUAAUUUCUAGGAUUUCAGGAAGUAGACAAAGCGCUCAUCCCAGGCAAGUGAUGAAACGGCAUGGCUGUGCACAAACUCUGAAACGCACGCUAGCAACGUGAGCGAAAGGGCUUCCUGUGUCAGGUAACAAAGCAGCAGUCACUGUGGUCCAGGGGCACUUCCAGAAGAGUCUAUUCCGCUAAAUUUGUACCUUUAUGAGCAUUUGUGAUGCUUCUAGCCUGCUGAAGCACCUGGUGCUGGCC